UGUACCUUUUCAUGUGGUUCUUAGCCUUUGUUGAACAUAUCAGUUCAUCAACACACAAAAAUUGUUCCAUAGGAACUUUUUUAAAAUUUUUGUUUAGUUCAUCUAUUAUUGGCCUGAUUUUGAAUAGCCGAUCGUGACAGGAGUGUGACAAAGGCAGAGCAUUAUCAUUGUUGUUAAAAUCAGGGUUAUUACUUUUAACAUUUGGCUCAGAAUCAUCUACGAGAUUUGAGUUUGAAACGUCUAAGGCAUUACUCGGUGGAUUUUGGUCAUCGAUGUCAUCUUCAUCCGUACUACCUGCAUCUUUCUCAUCUGGAUAAAAAUCGCUUUCUUCAUCAGCAGAAAAGUCAAGUUCAUCCUCGCUAUCUAAACUGUUGAAAUAAUUUUCAACCUGUGAAGGUGUUAAACCUUUUCCUGACAUAUUUCCUGCCGCACUCAACAUGUGCUUCUCACAAAAUUGGCGGGAAAGUGAACAUAUGUUUUACAAAACAUCUAGAAAUGUGCCCAAAGCAAAUCAUUUAUAAAAUACGUUUGUUUCAGAUGUACAACAUAUAGCCACAUUCGAUUUUUUCGAUUUGCAUUGCGAAAAAAUAUCUUUUAAAGGGUAUGUUGCAGAUAUGCAACACUGCCAUAUAAAGGGUUAAAAA